AUCGCUUCUCGGCCUUUUGGCUAAGAUCAAAGUGUAGUAUCUGUUCUUAUCAGCUUAAUAUCUGAUACGAGGACCAUGUGUCCUCUUCGAUAUUAAACUUAUAUUUAGAAGGGGAUGAGGUUUCGGAGCUUGCUCCCUCCUCAUCACGGGUUGGCCUUGCAUUGCAGUACCGCAAGGAACGGCCCACUUCCC
rnacentral:snRNA from 1 species